ensembl:lncRNA
GCUGGAAGGCUCAGGUUUCCGCCCCGGGAAUGCCAAGUGCGAACUCAUCACCCAGGCUCGUGUUUCAUAACUGAAAAUGCUGCAUGCUGCAAUAGUUGGAGCCACUGCAGUAUGCCAGUGUGAGGCCCAGGGGAGGGAUAAUUAGUAUGAAGGCACAUUAUUUAUUAAGUCUUAAAUUUUCUAUGCCAGGCAUCGGGAGGGAUGAGUAAAUAAAUCAAGCACUUGGACUGAAUUCAUCUCUCUAGAUGACACUUCCAUCACCAAUAUUUCCAGGAUCACCAAAGACACCUCCACUGACACAUUGAAAAUGAGUUGGAAAAAGCAUCUUUUUUUUUUAUAUCUAUAUAUAUAAAAACUGGAGCAACUAUGCUGUGGCCUAUAACAUAUUUACACUGCAGUGAAAUCUAACCAGUAAUACAGUACAGCUGCAUGGAUAUUCGUUGCAUGAAUCUGAAUAUUUAAUACACACACAAAUAUCUAUUUUCUUAGUAGACUAUACAGUAUUCAUGUUUAUAGUGUUUAUAGAUUCUCCGGUGGCUCGAAGGAGAUUCAUGGGAGUUAAAAACUCUCCAUUAGAUUUAAAACCUGGAUGGGGAAGGCAUGUGCUGACAACAGUUUGAUAGAUAACAAGGCAAAGCCUGAGUGUCUGAGCAGCCAGACACAAGAGCCAACUAAUGCAAGAGAGGGAAGGUGAGCUGAAAGUUAAACACCUGCGCUCAUUAUAGGGCGAGUAAUUAGUCAUUAAUCUUGGUGUCAUGAGCAGAAACCCACAGUAGAUCAGAGAGGGCAUGAGGAGCAGGUGGAAAAGCACGUACUGGCUCUCCUACUUGUUUGGUCAGCAAUUUUCAGCCUUUCCUCAUAUAAUUUGUGUGUGUGUGUGUGUAUAGAUAUUUAGAGAGUGACUAUAGGGCCAAAUCCUCAGCAAAUGUGAGUGCUUGAGGCAUUGGGAGCUUUCCAGUUCAGAGUGCUGGGAUGGUGGGACAUGGGCUGGGAGCAGGAUGACCUGCCCCAUGGCACCCAUGGGAUUACCAGGAUAGGGUGUGUUUUGGGCACAUUUGGGCACAUUUUCCUUUUCAAUCAUGUAGAACCUCAGGGCUGGUGGUUUAUUCCUUUAUGGUGGAGAGGGCACAUGCUAAGGGUAGGCUGGAUCUGAGCUGGUACCUCUGAGCCUUUGCUUUGCCUUCUUCCAGAGUUUUUAGGAGGGGUGAGUCAAGGUGCAGAGACCCUGAGGUUGUCUCUGCUUCUUCUUCAUCCUGGCAUUCCUUGGGGAAGUUGUCGGUCCAGGAAGAUCUCACCUGCUUUCCCUAUUCCCUGUCUGCCUUUUCUUGUGUUUCCCCCCACUGCUGACAAUCCCCAGGGAUGUGUGCCCUGUUCUUCUGGCAGGUCAGGGGAGAGGGAUGCAAACCUGGUCCAAGGUCAUGGUCAAGCAAAGCCUCCCCCAAGGGGUGUGGGAUGGAGUUUAGGAGCCUGUUGAGUUGGGGUAAAUUUGGGCUGAACUGGGGCAUGGUCAGUGCUGUACUGCUGUGAAGUAUGGACACAAGGAGAGCAUGCAGAGGGAGGUCAAUCAGCCCUGUCCUGAGCUCAGAGAGGAAACCCAUACUAAUAACAAUAAACCAAACGGUGCUAGCGUAUUCUACAGCAAUGGUUCCAAAUGCUGCUUUGGGGCUGGAUCCACCUCUUGUGCUGAUGUGGCUCCACUUGGGCAGGUGGAAUCACUCCUCAUUUUUAUUUGAUUGAUCAAUUGAUUCACACCAAGCUAUAAUUAAUACCAAGUGUCCACUUAGUGCGCGAGAGUCCUGGCUCCUGCUUGGUGCAGAGGACCAGCAGCGUCAAUGUGCUUGGUCUCAAAGGUGCUCAGCACCACGCAGCAUGAGACCCCCAGCCUGUCUUUAAUUACAUCUCGUUACAUUAGGAGCCCUCUCCUCCCUCUUCACUGCUGCAGCUCUGAAAUGGGAGCCCCUAUAGCCCGUUAACACCUUAAAACACACACAAAAAGAAGCAACACAACUGAAAGCAAUAAAUCUCUGCUUCUGAAGCUUGUCAAAUGGGAUGGGGCUGGCAUAAAUUGCUGCCUCGGGCACAAUUCCCAGGGCAGUUGUCCAGUUUCUAUUGAUUUGGCUUGUGGUGGGUCCAUAGGGAUGUGAGUUUGCACGGGGAAGCUGCCUGAUGCACUGGGAUUUUGCCUUCCCACCUAUGGGUGCUCCUAGCACUGGGUGAUCCCAUCCCUGGGGUGUGGGAAAGCACCAAGGCUGAGGGCAGGUUGCUGCAGGGUUUUUGGGAGGAUGCUGGCACUCAAUGGGACUUUGCACUGGUGGUUUUUAAUGCUGUGGGCUUUGGAUGAUUUGGGGCAGCUGUUGUGGUUCAGUAAGGAGGAAGAUCAUGGGGUUUUGAGUUGUUUUGGGUAUGGUGUCCCUGUGGGCUUUCCCAGGCUGGGCAGGAAGGGAAAGUGGGUGUGUGAGCAGGAUGAGGCACAUCAAACCCACUCGCCAAGCUGGGAGGUCCUGGCUGCUUUGGGAAUCCCCAGAGCCGCAUUGCAGGGAUGCACGGGCUCGAAAAGUGAGAGGCCACGUUCCUCCUGGAGCAGGACCAUGGCCAGUCCCUUCCUCAGGAUGGAUCCUGCACCUCUUGCAUAGACCCGUGCAGAUGUUCCUGGGGAAAAUGAGCCCUGGUGGGAGAAUAGCUCUGAUCUGUCCUUGGGGAAACAGGAAAACACCCGGAUAAGCGCUUGGAUGUUUGGUUUGGGGCAAGGAAGGUCUGUGGGGGCUGUGGCUGGAGGCAAUCCAUGAGGCUGCACGAAGCAGAAGGGUCCAGUCUCUCCCCUGCACAGACAAAUGGUUCCCCUAUAGCUUUUAAUGGGAUUUGUGCCUGCAGGUCGGAGCUCUAGUGCUAUUUCUAGCUUUGCUUCUGACUCACUGAUGUGAUCUUGAACCAGUUUUUCAGGAGACUGUAGGUUUUCUUCUUCUCUUUUAUUUAUUUUUUCUUGAGGGAUUUGGUUUAGGAGAUUCUGGGCCUGUGUCUGCAGAGAUGCUGAGCAUCCAAAACUCCCCUUGACUCUGAAAGGGUGCAAAAAUGAGCUGCAGAGUAGCUCAGCCUGAGGAUGCUAAAUUAAGGACCGGGGAAGGCGAGGGUCCCACCAUCUGUGUUAGAUUGCAGCAGGCCACUUAAUGUAGGUGUCUGGUUCCUUUCCUCCUCCCAUGGAGAUAUUUGCCUCUCUCCAGGGGUGGGAUGGAGGACUGAAGCCCUCUGGUCUGUGGAGGUGCUCCUGGGUUGGUGCCCAGAGGAGAAGACCCUGUAUUUUUGCAUUAUCCUUUGUGCCAUGGUUUUGGAGAGAUGGAAAGUGGUGAUUAUAGUGCAGGUUGUCUUCUAACACCCAACCACAUGUCCAAGCCUGCAAGCAACCCAUCAGCCCUUUAAUAUGUCCCAAAAUCUCUGCUAAGGGCAAUGGGGUGAGGUUCAUCUAGCAGCUGGACGCCACCAAGUGAUUAGGGAAAAAAUUAUCUAUAUGGGCCAAUGUGUUUUAUUGGGAAAACUAUUCUCUGCAGUGAUGUUCUGUGUCAAAGUCCUGCAGAUUUGAACACUGAGCUAUAGGAAGCAAAGGAUCUCUAGAUUGUUGUUUUGAGAGUGUAGCACGUGGGUGUAUAAAUAUGGGCAUAUUUGUGCAUAAAUACGCAGAAGGAGAGCAAAAGAGAGAGGAGGAGGAGGUAUUUCAGGAAGGGCCUUGCUUUGUUGUCAGAUAAUUCCUGGGUCAGCCCUUGAAAUUGCUACCAAAGUCUUUACCAGAGCUGGCAAUGCACCUAGGGAUGGGCCCAAGCAAAGGAGAUCCAGAUCUGGCCUCAGAAGUGGAGCAUCCUGAGAGCUGGUGGCAUUGGCUCCCUGCGUGCCUCUGCAGACCAGCAGCUCUACAGCAUCUCUGCUCUCGAUCCUGAAUCCCCAGCUUGGGCCUGUCACGACUGUUUCUGUGAUGUGCAGGGAAAGCUGAGCAGAAGUUGAUGGGAUUUAGCUGAAUUCAAGCACUCUGCUGCUCUGGGUGGGGGUUUUCAAGAUUUAUUUCUGUAGUGUUAGUAUUUUAAGUCCCUUGAGCUAUGCUGGCUUUUGGUCCCAGGGUGGUGGCAAAAAGCAUCGCCCUGUUUUGAAGCUGGGAUGGGUUUAUUUCAAGAUCUGCAUCCAUGGGGGGGAGUCCCAGGGGUUUGUUCAGUCAGUGGGAGCUGGUCAGCAUGCUGCUAGGGUGAAAGGGGCUGAGGGAUGAGGAAAGAAGGAGUCAGAUCCAAACUAUUUUGUUUUGCACCCAAAAUAAGGCUAUGGCUCUGUCCCUGCACCCCUGGCAGCAUUUGACCUCUUCCACAUUGAGCUUGUCCCUCAGUCCCUUUGGCUGGGGACCAGCUGCUGUCCCCUGCUGGGGUCCCUGAGUGGGGACAAUGAUUCCCCCCUAUGCACCAGCCACUGUUCUGGCCCUGGCCAAAGCACUGCCCUUCCCCAGCCUUGGCCUCCCCAUGAGGUUACUGCAUUUGGCUGCCCAAAUUUCAUCCCCCCCUUCUCUGAAAUGUGUGCUCUGACCCUGCUGCAUCCCAUCAUGGGGGAGAGGAAUCAUCCUCCAGCAGUGUAAAUCAUCCCUGAGAGCACAGCACUGAUUUACACCCGGGGACAAGAUCCCCCAGCCCAAUUGUGAUGAGAGAUAAAUCCCUUAUCCAUGUUUUUUCUUCAGGAGAGGGAUGGUUUGGCUUGUAGGAGCUGCUGGACAUCAUGUAACCACACAAGGUCUGUACACAUGGACCCUCAUGGGGACCACAUCCCCUCCCCAGCCCUGCCUGGCUGUCCUGAGGUCGGGAUUGGUCUUUUAGGGUUUGUUUCUUUGAUUUUUACUUUUAUUUUCAAUCUUCUGCUGCCUCUAAGACUGUAAAUUACCCUUUUGCACUUGCUCCCUCAUUGCUUGAGACUUCGCUCUUGUCCUCCAAUGUCAUCCACUGAAGCACAAGAGAUAAAAAUGGGUAUUGGAUCAACCCUGCGUGCGGUGCCUAAUUUGAGUGAAUCGAUAGCAAGAGGAAAUCCAAGAAGGACUCAUCCUAAGGAUGCUGGAGCUGAACCUUUUGUUUCCAUGGUUACGGGAGAAAUGGGACCAGGAAUGGAGAGAGGCCUAUAAACUGUUAAAGAAGGACUCGUGGGAAUUUCAAGUCAUUUAACCAUGCGUUUGCUAGACAAAAACUUUAGACACCAGCUGUAUCUGAAUUGCACAGUGUGUAUAGACAUUACUGCUCUUAUUGACGACCUGGGGGUGUCUAGGGGUCGGGUGGAUAACAGGGUAAGAGGCACCCGAGUCAAUAAGGCUGACCGUUGUAUAUAGGUAUACAGAUCUGUGUACAUACAUAGCCCAACUGAGCAUUUGCUGUCUGGUUUCUCAUGAGUGUAUAUAAUUUAUUCUUCACAGAGUAUCACAAUUUUUGUAAAUAUCGGCACUAAUUAAGAGGAAAUAAAUAUGUAUAUUAUUGAG